GACGAACGCUGGCGGCGUGCUUAACACAUGCAAGUCGAACGCAGAGCGAUGGAAGCUUUCUUCUAUCAAUCUUAGUGGCGAACGGGUGUGUCACGCGUAAUCAACCUGCCCUUCAGAGGGGGACAACAGUUGGAAACGACUGCUAAUACCGCAUACGAUCUAAUCUCGGCAUCGAGGAUAGAUGAAAGGUGGCCUCUACAUGUAAGCUAUCACUGCAGGAUGUGAUUGCGUCUGAUUAGCUAGUUGGCGGGGUAACGGCCCACCAAGGCGAUGAUCAGUAGCCGGUCUGAGAGGAUGAACGGCCACAUUGGGACUGAGACACGGCCCAGACUCCUACGGGAGGCAGCAGUAGGGAAUCUUCCGCAAUGGACGAAAGUCUGACGGAGCAACGCCGCGUGAGCGAUGACGGCCUUCGGGUUGUAAAGCUCUGUUAAUCGGGACGAAAGGCCUUCUUGCGAAUAGGGAGAAGGAUUGACGGUACCGGAAUAGAAAGCCACGGCUAACUACGUG
rnacentral:rRNA from 1 species